rnacentral:rRNA from 1 species
CUGGCGGCGUGCUUAACACAUGCAAGUUCAACGAUGAAGCUCUAGCUUUGCUAGGUGGAUUAUCGGCGAACGGGUUGAGUAAUACGUCGAGUCGACCUACCUUUGACUCUGGGAUAAGCCUGGGAAACUGGGUCUAAUACCGGAUACGACCAAUCUCCGCAUGGGGUGUUGGUGGAAAGCGUUAUGGAGUGGUUUUAGAUGGGCUCGCGGCCUAUCAGCUUGUUGGUGAGGUAAUGGCUUACCAAGGCGACGACGGGUAGCCGGCCUGAGAGGGUGACCGGCCACACUGGGACUGAGACACGGCCCAGACUCCUACGGGAGACAGCAGUGGGGAAUAUUGCACAAUGGGCGCAAGCCUGAUGCAGCGACGCCGCGUGAGGGAUGACGGCCUUCGGGUUGUAAACCUCUGUUAGCAUCGAAGAAGCGAAAGUGACGGUAGGUGCAGAGAAAGCGCCGGCUAACUACGUGCCAGCAGCCGCGGUAAUACGUAGGGCGCGAGCGUUGUCCGGAAUUAUUGGGCGUAAAGAGCUUGUAGGCGGUUGGUCGCGUCUGCUGUGAAAGGCUGGGGCUUAACCCUGGUUUUGCAGUGGGUACGGGCUAACUAGAGUGCAGUAGGGGAGACUGGAAUUCCUGGUGUAGCGGUGGAAUGCGCAGAUAUCAGGAGGAACACCGAUGGCGAAGGCAGGUCUCUGGGCUGUAACUGACGCUGAGAAGCGAAAGCAUGGGGAGCGAACAGGAUUAGAUACCCUGGUAGUCCAUGCCGUAAACGUUGGGCACUANGUUGUGGGGGACAUUCCACGUUUUCCGCGCCGUAGCUAACGCAUUAAGUGCCCCGCCUGGGGAGUACGGCCGCAAGGCUUAAACUCAAAGAAAUUGACGGGGGCCGCACAAGCGGGCGGAGCAUGCGGAUUAAUUCGAUGCAACGCGAAGAACCUUACCAAGGCUUGACAUAUACUGGACUGCGUCAGAGAUGGCGUUUCCCUUCGGGGCUGGUAUACAGUGGGUGCAUGGUUGUCGUCAGCUCGUGUCGUGAGAUGUNGGGUUAAGUCCCGCAACGAGCGCAACCCUCGUUCUAUGUUGCCAGCACGUGAUGGUGGGGACUCAUAGGAGACUGCCGGGGUCAACUCGGAGGAAGGUGGGGAUGACGUCAAUNCAUCAUGCCCCUUAUGUCUUGGGGCUUCACGCAUGCUACAAUGGCCGAGCCAGGAGGGUGGGGUUAUUGUGAGUUGGAGUUAUUCCUUAAAGGCGGUUUUCAGUUGGGAUGGGGUUUGGCAAUUGGACCCCAGGAGUUGGGUGUGGUUGUUAUUGGAGAUUAGGAACGGUGCCGGAGAUUAGUUUCCGGGCCUUUACACACACCGCCGUUAAGGGGGAAAUUGGUUAACACGCGCAGGAUAUGUCC